UUCUAAUAGAACUAAUUAUUAGUAAAAUCUGCUCAAUGAUUUUUAUAUAGCCGCAAUAUAUUUGUGCUAAGGUAGCAUAAUCACUUGUCUUUUAAUUAAAGACUAGAAUGAAAGAUAUUACAUUUAAAUUUCUUUUUAAAAUAAAAAUCUAUAAAUUAUUUUAAAUAUAAUAAAAUAUUUAUACAAAAAAUAGACGAUAAGACCCUAUUGAACUUUACUUUAGUUUAACUGGGGUAGUAAAUUAAAUAUAAUUUUAAUAUUAAUAAAAAAUUACUUUUCCAAUAAAAUUGACUUAAACAAGUUACCAUAGGGAUAACAGCGUAAUAAUUUUUCAAAGAUCUUAUUUAAAAAAUUGUUUACGACCUCGAUGUUGAAUUAAUUACCUUUAAAACGCAAUUAUUUUAUAAAGGAAGUCUGUUCGACUUUUAAUCUAUUACAU
rnacentral:rRNA from 1 species